AAAAACAUCGCCUCCUGCUAAUAUCAAUGUAUAAGAGGUCCUGCCUGCCCAGUGACUAAGUUAAACGGCCGCGGUAUUUUGACCGUGCAAAGGUAGCGCAAUCACUUGUCUUUUAAAUGAAGACCUGUAUGAAUGGUGAAACGAGGGCUUAACUGUCUCCCUUUUUUGAUCAGUGAAAUUGAUCUACCCGUGCAGAAGCGGGUAUAAAUAUACAAGACGAGAAGACCCUAUGGAGCUUAAGACAAAAAUCAACUGCCAUCCUUAUAGGAAAAACAAAGCAGAAACUGAUUUACCGUCUUCGGUUGGGGCGACCACGGGGGAUAAAUUAUCCCCCAUGUGAAGUGGGGAAUACCCUAAAACCACGAGGCACACCUCUAAGUCACAGAACAUCUGACCUUAAGAUCCGACACCUAGUCGAUCAACGGACCAAGUUACCCUAGGGAUAACAGCGCAAUCCCCUCCAAGAGCUCAUAUCGACAAGGGGGUUUACGACCUCGAUGUUGGAUCAGGACAUCCUAAUGGUGUAGCCGCUAUUAAGGGUUCGUUUGUUCAACGAUUAAAGUCCUACGUGAUCUGAG
rnacentral:rRNA from 1 species